AGAGUUUGAUCAUGGCUCAGAUUGAACGCUGGCGGAAUGCUUUACACAUGCAAGUCGAACGGCAGCAUAGGUGCUUGCACCUGAUGGCGAGUGGCGAACGGGUGAGUAAUACAUCGGAACGUGCCCAGUCGUGGGGGAUAACGUAGCGAAAGUUACGCUAAUACCGCAUACGCCCUGAGGGGGAAAGCGGGGGAUCGCAAGACCUCGCGCGAUUAGAGCGGCCGAUGCCUGAUUAGCUAGUUGGUGGGGUAAAAGCCCACCAAGGCGACGAUCAGUAGCUGGUCUGAGAGGACGAUCAGCCACACUGGGACUGAGACACGGCCCAGACUCCUACGGGAGGCAGCAGUGGGGAAUAUUGGACAAUGGGCGAAAGCCUGAUCCAGCAAUACCGCGUGAGUGAUGAAGGCCUUAGGGUUGUAAAGCUCUUUUAGCAGGGAAGAAACACCGGCUCUAACACAGUCCGGGAAUGACGGUACCUGAAGAAUAAGCACCGGCUAACUACGUGCCAGCAGCCGCGGUAAU
rnacentral:rRNA from 1 species